GACGAACGCUGGCGGCGUGCUUAACACAUGCAAGUCGAACGGAAAGGCCCUGCUUUUGUGGGGUGCUCGAGUGGCGAACGGGUGAGUAACACGUGAGUAACCUGCCCUUGACUUUGGGAUAACUUCAGGAAACUGGGGCUAAUACCGGAUAGGAGCUCCUGCUGCAUGGUGGGGGUUGGAAAGUUUCGGCGGUUGGGGAUGGACUCGCGGCUUAUCAGCUUGUUGGUGGGGUAGUGGCUUACCAAGGCUUUGACGGGUAGCCGGCCUGAGGGGGUGACCGGCCACAUGGGGACUGAGAUGCGGCCCAGAGUCCUACGAGAGGCAGCAGCAGGGAAUCUUACGCAAUGGGCGAAAGCCUGACGGAGCAACGCCGCGAGAGUGAUGAAGAUCUUCGGAUCGGAAAACUCUGUUAUUAGGGAAGAACAAAUGUGUAAGUAACUAUGCACGUCUUGACGGUACCUAAACAGAAAGCCACGGCUAACUACGUG
rnacentral:rRNA from 1 species